AUUCUUCCAUAGUAGGUACCCACUACUAUGGGAUAUACAGAUUUUCAAAUACCGAACCGGUAUAAAUACUAAUAAGAUCUUCAGAGACAACAUCAGUGAUCUACAGUUGUUACAACGAUACACAUCGAGUCUUUAUUUCACUUUUUGAGUUACCUCAAAUUCACAUCCAAAAACCAUCAUGUAUAAGUUUUUGUUAUUGGUUGUUGCCGCUUUGGCUUUGGUGGCUGUUGCUUCUUCUCAAAUUGUUUACUACACACCACAUACUUACGCACCGGUGUACACCUACCCAUCGUACGCCUACACUUACCCAGUGUCUUACAAUCCAUACAUCACUCUCCUUCGUCGAUGAAUAAAUAUUCUACUAAAUCCAAGACCAUCGGGAGUUAUUCUGCAGUUAUUCAACGCCGAUCUUACGAAAAUAUAUUGACAACGGAAAUGUAUUUAUUUUAGUACAUAAUUUAUUGUUUGCUAUUAUUUCACAGUAAAUUCUUAUAUAUCUUCAUUCUUCUUGUAAACAUGUAUUUUAUCACAAUGUCACAUUUUUAAAUUAUUUGUUGAAGAACCGUUUAAUGUAAUAUACAUAAUAAUUUAUUGAAAUA